AUUGAACGCUGGCGGAAUGCUUUACACAUGCAAGUCGAACGGCAGCACGGACUUCGGUCUGGUGGCGAGUGGCGAACGGGUGAGUAAUGUAUCGGAACGUGCCCAGUCGUGGGGGAUAACGUAGUGAAAAUUACGCUAAUACCGCAUACGAUCUAUGGAUGAAAGCGGGGGAUCGCAAGACCUCGCGCGAUUGGAGCGGCCGAUAUCAGAUUAGGUAGUUGGUGGGGUAAAGGCCCACCAAGCCAACGAUCUGUAGCUGGUCUGAGAGGACGACCAGCCACACUGGAACUUAGACACGGGCCAUACUCCUACGGGAGGCAGCAGUGGGGAAUUUUGGACAAUGGGCGAAAGCCUGAUCCAGCCAUUCCGCGUGCAGGAUGAAGGCCCUCGGGUUGUAAACUGCUUUUGUACAGAACGAAAAGGUUUCUACUAAUACUAGGAGCUCAUGACGGUACUGUAAGAAUAAGCACCGGCUAACUACGUGCCAGCCGCCGCGGUAA
rnacentral:rRNA from 1 species